CCGACCUGCCCAGUGAAAACUUUUUAACGGCCGCGGUAUCCUAACCGUGCAAAGGUAGCGCAAUCACUUGCCCCUUAAAUAGGGGCUAGUAUGAACGGUUUAAUGAGGGCUCAACUGUCUCCUGAAGCCAAUCAAUGAACUUGCUAACUCAGUACAAACGCUGAAAUAUAACCAUAAGACGAGAAGACCCUGUGGAACUUAAAGUAGUCUGUUGACCCCCCCACCCCUCAACAACAUACUUCAGUUGGGGCAACUUCGGGGUAAAGAAAAACCCCCACGAAAAUAGCUAACCGCUAUACACCUAGGCCCACACGCCACCGGCACAAUGUUCGACCCAGUACACAACUGAUCAUCGAACCAAGCUACCCCAGGGAUAACAGCGCUAUCCCCUUCAAGAGUCCUUAUCGCCAAGGGGGUUUACGACCUCGAUGUUGGAUCAGGACACCCAGGCGGUGCAGCCGCUGCCAAAGGUUCGUUUGUUCAACGAGUAAAGUCCUACGUGAUC
rnacentral:rRNA from 1 species